AUCGUUCAACCCUAAUGGGUCGGAAGUAAGCAGCCGCUGAAGGAACGCGCA
rnacentral:ncRNA from 10 species